rnacentral:piRNA from 1 species
UGACACUCUUCUACUUUAGCUAUGGCACA